UUUUUUGGCCCACACUCCAGAAAGCUUUACUGGUUAUCUUGAACCAGUUAAUAUGUCAGUGGUGGUACUGGUAUGAUACUGGUAUGAUACUUUGAUCUAAAUAUCUUCAUCUCAUUCUUACUUUUCUUUAUAGCUUUAUUUCUGUUUCCCUCUCAGUCUUCUGACGGUUCUCUUUCAGACAGCAUCUUACUUUGGUUGAGAACUCUUUAUCUGUAGAGUCUAGUUGUUUGGUUUUUGAGUUACAGACAGGAAAGAAUAGCUCUAAUGUCUAUCAUGUAUGGGGCCUGCAUAUUUAUUUCAAGUUUAAGGAGUGAGGAUCUGUACUCCACUUUCUUUUUAAACUCCAUUCCAUCUUUUUCUGGUAUAACUCUGUUUUCCUCUUUUCCCCAUCUCCAAUUUCUAUCUGUCCCCUCCUCCUGUCUUGUCAAUGGUCUGGAUGCUUCACCCUUCACCUCCUUGCCAUGUGCUCCGUCACCUUUGCUCUCUUUCAAUGCAACCUACCAUCCCCCCCACCAACAAAUCCCCGGCCCACCAAUAGAUGAGUUGUAUGCUCAGAAACUGAAGUACAAGGCCAUCAGCGAGGAGCUGGACCACGCCCUCAACGACAUGACUUCCAUAUAAAUUUUUUACACCUCAUCAAAGACGUCUCCUGCCGGCUGAGCGGCAUCUGUCUGCUCUCUCCAGCCUGCUAUUCAUUUUCCCUUCCUUUCUCUAUGUCACCGCUUCCCUCACUCCUCAUGUUUUCAUCCUCAUGACGUUAAAUGCAUCCCAUCUCUUGUACAGAAUCCUAGAAUCUUUCUGCAUUGUGUAAAGAAUAAACACCCUUCCUUCUAUG